rnacentral:rRNA from 1 species
UACGUAGGGGGCAAGCGUUGUUCGGAAUUAUUGGGCGUAAAGAGCUCGUAGGCGGCUUGUCACGUCGGUUGUGAAAGCCCGGGGCUUAACCCCGGGUCUGCAGUCGAUACGGGCAGGCUAGAGUUCGGUAGGGGAGAUCGGAAUUCCUGGUGUAGCGGUGAAAUGCGCAGAUAUCAGGAGGAACACCGGUGGCGAAGGCGGAUCUCUGGGCCGAUACUGACGCUGAGGUGCGAAAGCGUGGGGAGCGAACAGG